rnacentral:lncRNA from 1 species
AAAACAGAGAGAGAAGAACUUCAGCGGGAGUCUGGGGAAGAAAAAGGGAUGAGAGUGACGGUUGAAAAGGGCCGCGAGAGAGAAAAACAAAGAAAACAGAGGGAGGAGGUCGCGGAUGAAAAAGGGCUUCGGCCUUGAGAGAAAACAGAGGAAGGCUGAAGAAAGGCUACGGGGGAGUGAAAGAAAAACAAAGGGAGCGGCGGAUGGGCUGAACACGAACAGGAAAAAACAGGCAACCAUCGGAGAGGCUUGAGAAAGGAGGGCAAAAACAGAGCAACAAAAAGGGUCGGAAAAAAACUGGAAAUUGGGGAAGGGGGCUUCAGCGAACAAGAAAAAGAAAACAAUAAGAAAGAAAGGGAAACAAGCUGCGGAGAGGGUUGAGCUGAGAGUAAAGCCUGCAGCCAAAGAAGAAACGGAGCAACAGGAAAAGGAAAAAACCGGAGAAAAAGGAAGGCUAGCGGAAGAACAGAGCAAGGUAGGAGCAAAAUGAGAAAAAGCAAAGCAAUGGGCUUCGGGCGGCUUCGGGCUGAAACGGAUGAAGGAGAAAACAUGAUAAGAAUGGCAAAGGCAGUUGGCGGCUGACGGGCCAGAGGAGGAAAGAAAGCAAAAACGCAAGGGGAAAACAGAGGGGCUGUGAACAAGAAGAAAAUUGGCAAAGGAAAUCUGGGCAACAAUUGCAGCUUGCGGCUGGAAAGGACAACACAGAGCCGCCGCUGCUCAUGCUGCCACCACCGGAAUCCGCUGUCAUCUGCGAAUCUUCACCGUGGAAGACCACUGUAAGUCAUCCUUUGCCUGUACGUUCAAUCUUCCAGAGCAUGCUUGCCGUGAGUUGUUGUUUCAAUUUUCCUGUGGUUUGUUCAUGGGUUUUAGAAUACGCAUGCGUUAUGUACUUGAUUGGAUUGAAAUUAUAUUGAUUGUUUCUGAUUGUUCAUGCUGAAAAAUUUUGGGUCGAUCAUGGCUCCAAUUGAGCCGAGAAUCAAUGGUGUUUUUUAUGCACUUUUAGUGUUUGUUAAAAUGCCCGAACAAUGUGUUUGUAUGAAUUCGACAGGAAUUGACGCCGAUGCUUAUUUCCUCUGCUUUGUAAUUUAACUUCAGACUUUUAGAACUUCAUAAUUUGGCCCCAAAAUGUUCAUAAUUCUUUCAAUUAGAUCCUUGCUUUUGUUGUGUUGGAGCCCUUUAAUCUUUCCCCUUUAUUCUGAUAUGGCCCAAAAUUUGGAAAAAUUGAACUAAUUUUGCCCUUUUAAGUUUAAUUUUCUGUUUGCAUAUUUUAUGUGACUUUUUUUUUGAAUAGAUUAAUUCUGGGUUUUUAGGUCAUAAUUGCGGUUUAAUAAUUUUAGUUGGUUUUAUCAUGUUGGGUUGAAUGAAACAAAUGUUUUUGGAUCAAGAAUUAUGUUUGUUUGGGUCUAACAAAAUGGGUUUUGAUUACUUUUGAUUGGAUUUUGAUAUAUCUUAGAUAGCCAAAGCCCUUGCAUUAUUCGGAUUGGGCUGGAGUAAUUAAACGAUGGGCUGGUCUGAUGUGUUUUAAGGCUUUCGGUCUGGGCUUCAGAGGAAAAGCCCAGAUGUUUUGGUUGGACCAAUCGACAGGCCAGCCCAUCUGUUUUCUCGAUUUAUUUGAUGGGUUGAAGAUAAUUUUGGCCCAAACGAAUAAGGCCCAAUGGCCUGUUUGACUAAGAAAAUAAUUUUGCAAAUCAGUCCCUGAGUUUCUCUUUAACUAUACUGUGGCCCUGGACAUUUUCCACUUCUUUCAUUUCGGUCCUUACUUUAAUUGCAAAUAAGUCCUUGAACUUUAUUUUUCUUUAAUUUUGGCCCCAAAAUUUUGCCAAUCUUUGCAAUCAAGUCCUUUCUUCUCUUGACUUCUUAAAUGUGGGUUGUUGACAGGAUUUAAUUGAUUCAAAUUCAUGUUUAUUUUUAUCCUUUGUGAUUAUUUGUCAAAUAAAUUGGUGCCUUGACCCUUUUAUUGUUUUGAAGCCAUUUUUACUUCAUUUGAUUACCAUCGAAGGGGAGGUAUAAUUUCUUUUAUCUUUUUUGUGUCUUCUAUGUGAUCCAACGUGUUACGUGCGAAAUACAUGUCUACUUUGCUUUCCUAGCCUUUCUUUAAUUUCUUUUAUUUAUGUCAUUUACUUUUGCUUUUUAUUUAAGUUAGUUUUUAUGGGGUAUGUGAACACCUCUUGGCUUGUAAUAGAUAGGGCUUGGAGGAGCACUUGAUGAAGACCUUUUGAAGACAUGUGCCUAGCUAGCAAAUGUAAUAGUUAGGGCUUUAAUUGUCUUAUGUGUCUUGCAUGCUUAGUUGCUACGUGUUAAUUUGCUUUGUUAGGGCCUUGCAUCUAGUCGAGCAUGCUAAAUGUUAUGUGCUAUGUGUUUUUAAGUGUUUGGCAUGUCUACUCGCUUUCCAUAGCUAUGAAUGAAUGGAAUGGAUGAAUGUACGUUUCCACUAGUCCAACGCUAGUCGGAAUUCAUAGAAUGGGCUAGUCCAACGCUAGACCCUUAGGGAUUUCACCUCGUUAGCACAUAUUUGCAUGUUCAUUACAUGUCAUGCAUUCUUUUUAGUUUUAUCAUUUUGCAUGCCCCUCGAACCCCUUUUCCCUCCAUUUUAGGAUUUUUGCAUUUCAUGCUAGCUAUAGGGUUCAUUUGAUUGAGAGUCCCCUUAAAUAUGGGAUAUAGACGAGUGUGGCUUUUUCUAAGCCUUAGCACGCUUGUAUUCCCUCUAUAAAAGGGCAAAUUAAGUCACGAUUUAGGUCUCCCCGUACCCAAUAUGCAUGCAUUCCUAGGCUCAUGCAUUCUAAAUCCACUCUAUCAUUACACUUUCACUUUUUCUCCCAUUUGCACACGUACACCUUUUAUCCCUUCACUUGCACACUUUCACUUUUGUCUCAUUUGCACACAUGCACUUUUUAUCCCUUCACUUGCGCACGAACACUUUUCCUCCCAUUUGCACAUGUACACCUUUUUAUCCCUUCACUUGCACACAAACACUUGUAAAUACAUUUGCACACCUCCACUUACAUCCUAUUAUUUUUAUUAUUUUUCUCACUUCACAUAUCCUCACAUUGCAUACAUGCAUUCCAUUCAUUUGCAUCCCACUCGCAUUAUUCGUGACCUCUUCAAAGGGUCGUUAUUGGGCUUCACUAUUAAUGUGAUUGGCACCACUCAACCUUUGAAGAGAAAUUUCCCCCAAUACCCCUAGGUCUAGGGUUUGCAUUCAUGUAGUGCAUCCAAAUGUAAUAAAUUCUUUGGUUAAAACAAGAAAAUCUUUGAUUAAAUCAUGCAACUAGCCUUGGCUAGGUCGAAGGGGUGCCUUGGAUUUUUAUCCUUGCCUUCCCCUUCGUCAAAUGUGACUCCCGAACCUUUUUCUUUGGUUUACGUGGACUAGGAGUCGUUUAAAAGGGGUUUCUUAUUACUUUUUCCUAUUUUUCCUUUAAAAAAUUCAUUUUAGGUGACUUGGUACACCUUAACUCAUUACCAAGUGGCGACUCCAAUUUUGAUUUCAAAAACCCUUUUUAAACUAUAAUUUUGGGUCAAAUCGUCGCAUUCUCAGAACCCCAUUUAGACCCAUUUUUCUUUAAAUCACGAUUCAUCUUCCAAUCAAAAAACACAUUUUCAAACCAUUUAUUUUUCUUAUCAAAAAAUGGGGCGCGACAGUUGGCGACUCCACUGGGGACUUUCGAGAGUCCGAGCAAAUUUGAUUUAAUCAACCUUUUUCUUCUUUUAACCUUUUCAUAUAUCACAUUUGGAUGUUUUAGGGUUGCAUUUUUUCCUUUUUUAGGAUUUUGCAUUUCACGCGUGUCCAACUAAUCCCUCGACUCAUGAAUGUAUGUUUGAAUGAAUGUUUACUUGUUAUCUCGCGCUUGCAUUGCAUUUUGGGAGGUAUGGGUCACCCUAGAGCCUCGCGUUGGUUCUUGACCCCUCCCCUCCAAACGAGCACUAGCAUACGUGCAUACGCUUUAUUAUUCACCCUUCAUUUAUUUUUCUUUUAGUGGCUUGUCACGCCACUCCACCCUACUAGGAUUAGGCGACCCACUUGGACAUGUGAUCACGACACGAUGUGUGUGUAGCAUGGUCCAAUGGGUCACUCAAUCUUCCGCUUUAAACUAUGGGUUGAUAGCCUUUAGCUUUUAGUGGAAGGUUGAGGGUUUUGAUAGAUUCACUCAAACACGUAGCCGUGACACGAUGUGUGCGUAGCGGUGUUUGGGGAAUCGCUCGAGCCACCGACAAAAAACCUUGGGAUUGAUGACCCUUGGUUUCUAAGUCUGAAGGCUCGGGGACCUGAGCUUAUCGAUCUAGAUGCAUUAGCGAACCUUAACCUCAUGCAUCCAUUUUAGAAUUGCCUUAGGGUAGAGUCGGCCUUAUCCUGAGCUAGGGACACUAUUCACGAGGGGAGGGGUCCAACCCCUUUUUCCCUUUUAUUGCUUUGUAUUGAUUGUUUUAUCUUGUUGCUACAAUGUGUUAUGUGUAUUUCUCUGCCUGAACUAACCUUUCUUGGUUUUGUGUCCCCGUUGCAUUCACAAACCCUAGCAAAUAAGAGGUCUGGCAUGACCUUCUUUUAGAACCUACCCUUGUAGAUAGGCUAUUGCACGUUUAAGAAAUUUUGGUAUAUUUUGUUCAUGAAUUAAUAAUGCCAUGUCAUUUUAGGCCUACCCUGGCAUAUAAAGGGCUCCUUAGGUCACGUUUCCAUUUCAAAUUGCAUGUUUUAUCGCUUUAAUAAACUGGCAUCAUGCAUAAACCCUAGAAGGGAAUGCCAUUUAGGGGAUCCCGUGUUAGGGGAUAAGCCACCUUGUGUCUCGGAUACUUAAUCCAACGAGACUUGCACGUUUACAUUUCGUACCAUCCAAAGGGGUAGUGCACAAGGUAAGGUAGGAUCCGAUCAUUUUCAUAGAGUAAUCUUUGGAAUAUGAGCAUCUAAUAAUCACUUUUUGGCCAUUUUAUCAAAAAUUGGUAAAAAUCCCUUGCGUGAAGGACAUUAAUUUGAAGAAAUUCACAAAUGAUUCCUCCUUUUGAGACGAUAAAUAAAUUGAGGCCAAAAUUUGAUUUUUAGAAGGUCAUAGACUAAUGCACUUCAAUAAUUUUGAAAUAACCAAUGGCCGGACAAUUCAAUCAAUCCAUUUUGCCGAUUCAUUCAAUAAAUCAUCAAUUCAUUUGACCAAUUUACCCUUUUUAGGGUUAUUUGACCAAUUUACCCUUUUUAGGGUCACCUGGUCAAUUUUGAGUAAAUCAUCAAUUCAUUUGAUCAAUUUACCCUUUUUAGGGUCGUUCGGCCGAUUUUUGAAUAAAUCACUAAUUCAAUUUCAUUCAUUUGGCCAAUUUACCCAUUUUUAGGGCAACCGAGCCGAUUUUGAAUAAACCAAGUUUCGUUCAAUCUAUUUGAUCAAUUUACCCUUUUUAGGGUGAUCUGAUUAAUUUUGGAUAAAUUAAAUUUCUUUCAAUUCAUUUGACCUGUUUCCCUUUUUAGGGUAAUCCGAUCGAUUUUUAAUAAAUUGUCAAUUUCAUUUGACCAAUUAGGAUUUCAAUGUCGAAUUUCAAAAUGGAAAACCUAGUCGAUUUUGAGAAAAACAUCCAUGGCAUCCGGCCAUUUGAUCAGUUGGAGUUUUGACCCGUACUUCACUGUGAAAAUUUGUCAACGAAUUCCAAUCUCUCCGAUAGGAAGUUCGUCAAGGUCAAACCCGUACGUUUUUUGCAAAUUCUUGUAUCGAUCAAAAGUGAUCAAUCCCUUCGGACGAGGUCCUCAUUUUGACAAACGUCUCUUCUCAUUCCAAUGGGCCAAAUUUUUCAAAUUAUUUUUCACUCCAUAAGCUGAUUGGAUCCAUCAGGUAUUGUAUAGUGCCUGCUCUGGAGGAUUGCAUUUUCAUGCUAGGCCUACCCUUGGCAUAAAAGGGUUCCCCCCAUAGGACAUGCAUACCGAUUUUAUAUUCUUAUUUACUAACUCAGGGUAUUUUUCUUUUGUUUUCCCCCUCCCCUGCAUUCAUAAAAAAAAAUGCUUCAAUAAAGUGAAAAUAUUUUUCUAUACCUGAUGAUAAUUUGGAUCUAAUAAAGUGUCAAAAUUGCAAGUAUUGUAUGAUUCUUGGGCAGAUCCUACAAUGAAAACAUAAAAGAUCUAUCUGGAAGCUCUACGCUAAAGCAUCUGAGAGAUUUUGUAAUUAUUUCCAAAGGAAAAUUUUGUAUAUUUGAUUUGUUAAUACAUUUUGUUCCAAAAAGAAAAGGAGACAAAAGGUGUAUAUGUGGAGCUCUUUACGAGUUUCUCUCUUCUCAUUUGUAUCAUAAUUGAACGGGAAAUUUUGUUUCAAAUUGUUUUUCAGCAAUAAAAAUUUUGGAUAAUCAUUGUUUUGUGUAUAUUUAUGUACAUUUCAUUCUUUAUUCUUAUUCAUUGGAGAUUUCAUGAUGAAUUUUAAGAAAUAAGACUAAAUUGAGAUUUGUUUUCAACCUCCAGCCCGAAAAUUCACAAGUAUAUGCUUCCUAAAAUCCUUACACUCGAUUGGUGAUCCGAGUCAUACAAUAAGAGUGCUCAGAAAAAGGUGAAUGGUCACUCCAAAGGCCUCAUGAGAUACAUUUUCUCCUUCAUUUGACCCCAACAAAAAUAAUAAUAAAAUCAGUCACAUUGAUUGAUAAAUCAUAAAUUGGGGCAAUCUUUGCUUGAAAAAUAUCCAUUGUGUUUAACCGAUUCAGUUCACAUCUUAGUGAAAGCAAAAAUGUGUAUUAUUCUUGUUUGUUUUAAAAACUUGGAAUGAUACAUCGAGCAUUCUUCUUUCUACCUAUACACAUUUUAUCAUUUGCUCUCCCAUUUAAGCUUUUGAAAGAAUAAUUUCGUUUCAAAUACGAGCCCUAAUGAUCACUACCCUAUAUUGGAAAAUUUUCAAAUAUCCAAGAAGGGGAAUGGAUUUUCAAUGACCAUCUGGUUACUUUGGUUGUCAUGAAGUGUGAGAAUGAUACUUUGGCCGUCGUUUCCACAACCUAAACACUGAUCAUCCCUUGCAUCCUCAUUUGAGCUAAAAAUUGGUGAUUCUUUUCGAGUGCACAUAUGAUCGCACCCCCACAUUGGGGAAGAAGAUUGGGAAAUUUUGAGAAAGAAGAAAAAAAAGAAAAAGGGAAAAGCAAAAAUGCUAGAAUAAGGAGGGAACCGCAAAUUGGGGAAAUUUGGUUCCACUUGGGUUCCAAUUUUGAAAAGAGAGAAAGAGGAAAGAAAAAGGAAGAGAUUUGUCUGCACGGACCGCCUAUGUUUUCACAGAUAUAGAUGAACGAGGGUCUUCCUCAGUCAGUUAAUUCAGGUACAUGCCAGAAAUUUUGCGUUAAUGAAAGUUUCCUUUCAGAGUUAUUGUAAGGAUCAGAAUAAAAGUCAGGCCCUCUUCUUUUCCAAUCAAGCAUUCUAUCCCUAGUUAUCCCUUUUGAGCCUUCAGAAUAAAAUACUUGGUUUGGCAACCCCUGAGAAUCGCAAACCCCACACUGGGGCAAGUUGGAGUUGAAAAGGAAAAUUUCAAGAAGUGAAAAAGUGACAAUGCCGCAAAAUCAAAAGAAAAGAAAAAAGAGAACCUCAGUACAAAAGUAAACUGGGGCAAAUUUUGUGAAAGUUCAAAAGAAUGGCAAAAAGCCGAAAAAUCAAAAGAAGAAAGAAAAUGAAAGAAAAAAGCCUCAAUUGAGCAUAAACUGGGGCAAAUUCUGAUUUAACCCUAAAAUAGGGUUGGUGUAACAAUGCGAUCUCAGAUUACUUAAACCAUUCUUGAAAUCUGCUUUCAAGCCUUAACUCUUCUAAACACCCCACCUGACCCCAUUACAAAAGCCGAAAGUCCUGACUUCUGUUCUUUGCAAUGGCCCUGUCAAGAAAAUUUCUGAUGUCGGAAAAUUUUAGCUGUAUUUCUGAAUUGCUUGGGUAUGGGGUUGACGCUACUCACCAAGUGAAAACCCACCAAAUUGGGGAAAGGAAAAGAGGCAAAAAGCAAAGCAAGAAAAGUAAAUGCAAGAAGAUGCAGAAAAAUUCGACGCUGAAGUCCCUGGGGAAUGAUGAGAAAAUCCAAACAAAGUCUGAAAUCUUUUGAGUUCAAAAUAGGGGCAAUUUUGGAAAAAUGCGAUUUUUGGUGCGAUAUCCUUGAAAGAUUUAUUCUUUAGCUAUCGUUUUCAAGCCAAAUUACAAGCUAAUAAAGUCCAUCGUUGACUUAUUCCUUCAUGACAAUCCAAAGUGAGAAUCAUGCUCAUAAGAAAUUCAUCAGAUCAUUUGUGAUCAUAAGGGUAUAACCCGUUUCCACAUGUUUAGCUAUCACUUCUGUCCAUACGUUACAAGCCUAGAAAGCUUGUAUGUUGACUAAGUUUUCUUAAAAAUAAGAGUGACAAACUCUUUGCUUUCACUAAGAUGUGAUGUUGAAUGCAUUACAAUUUUGGGCACAAGAACCAGACAAAUUCUAACCUCCUAUUUCCUUAGCCAUUUCAAAAAAAUAAUAAAGUCACUUGAUUGGUCCUAAAAGAUGAACUAACCAGAAAUGGUGGCCCAUCACCCAAAGCAUUGAUGCUAAAGUGGGGAAGAAAUCUUUCGUAAUUUGGCAUUAUUUUGAGAAAUUUAUCAUGAAAUGUGCUAUAUGAGUUAAGCAAGACAGUCAAUUUUCUUCACAUGAUAUGUUAGGAAAAGCAAUUGCUUACUUUGUUCAAAUAAAUGGAGGGUCAUCCAAACAAAUUUUUUGCAAUUAAAUAGCCCUACACUGGGGCAAAUUUUCAUGAAAAAUUUUGCAAAAUAGCCCACACUGGGGCAAAAUUUUUGUAAUACAUUUGAGGAUGUCAAAUCAAUCACGCUGUUCUUUCCAAAUAAGAAAUUUGAAUGUAUGUCAUACUUUGAUGACCCCCUUGUAUAGGUAUUCAUGGUUCAAAAUGACGAAAAGCAUCCAGUGAGGCGGAAGGCCGAUACUGCAAAGAGAAGCAAGAAGAAGGAGGGAAAAAUGGACUCGACGCUGGGGCAAAUUAUUUUUGAAAAAUUCUCUCAAAAACAAAAAACAAAAAAAAAAAAAAAAAAAAAAAAAAAAAAAAUCAGGUUCAAAUUCUUGUUUCUUGAAAAAUCAAAUUUGAUUUCUUAUGGGCGAAGCUUCAAUGCACGCCGCGCAUCAUUCUGUUCCCCCCUUCUCUUAACAUCUCAAAAAUCUCGUUGGGCCUGGAUUUCUUGCCGCCAACUUCACAAAAAUCCUAUUGGGCCUGGACUCGGUGCCGCCAACAUCUCAAAAAUUUCAUUGGGCAGGCUCGGGUUAAUCCCACUGACCAAUUCAUAACUGGGGCAAAUUAUUUCCACAAGUCUCUCUCAAUCAAAAAAUCAAAAAAUCAGAAAAAGAAAGAAGAAAAAAUCAGAAAAAGAAAGAAAAAAAAAGAAAAAAAGAAAACAAAAACAAAAAAAAAAAAAAAAAGAAAAAAAAUCAGAAAAAAAAAUCAAAUUCAAAUUCCUAUUUCUUGAAAAUCCAUUUUUCAUUUCUUAUUGGCAAAGCUUAGCGUCCGCCGCGCACCCUUAUACCUCUUUUCUUGACAACCACAUUUUAAUUUACUGACUUCAACCGCCGUUAGCAUCGAGUUUAUCUCACUAACGUGCGUGUUUCAUUUCAACCGCCGUUAGCAUCGAGUCUAUCUCACUAACGUGCGUGUUUCAUUUCAACCGCCGUUAGCAUCGAGUUUAUCUCACUAACGUGCGUGUUUUCAUUUCUACCGCCGUUAGCAUCGAGUCUAUCUCACUAACGUGCGUGUUUCAUUUCUACCGCCGUUAGCAUCGAGUUUAUCUCACUAACGUGCGUGUUUCAUUUCAACCGCCGUUAGCAUCGAGUUUAUCUCACUAACGUGCGUGUUUCAUUUCUACCGCCGUUAGCAUCGAUUUAUCUCACUAACGUGCGUGUUUCAUUUCAACGCCGUUAGCAUCGAGUUUAUCUCACUAACGUGCGUUUUUCAUUUCAACCGCCGUUAGCAUCGAGUUUAUCUCACUAAUGUGCGUGUUUUCAUCCCACAACACUCCAUCUCACUUCAAUUCAUCUAAUUUUAAAUUUCUGUCCGGGUCUAUCCCAUUUAAAUUUUUGUCUGGGUCUAUCCCAUUUAAAUUUCUGUUCGGUCUAUCCCGUGGGUCUAUCCCAUUUAAAUUUCUGUCCGGGUCUAUCCCGUGGGUCUAUCCCAUUUAAUUUUUGUCUGGGUCUAUCCCAUUUAAAUUUCUGUUCGGUCUAUCCCGUGGGUCUAUCCAUUUAAAUUUCUGUCCGGGUCUAUCCCGUGGGUCUAUCCCAUUUAAAAAUCUGUCCGGGUCUAUCCCGUUAAAUUUCCUGUCUCGGGUCAGUCCGAUUUUAAAAUUUUCUCAUUUGGGUCAAUCCCAUUUAAAAAAAAAAAAAAAAAAAAUUUCAGUCCUCGUUUCAAAAGCGUCCGUCGUCCGGAUCGUUCGCAGCCGAAUAACACAGGUAAGUAUUUGGUGUCUACUCUUUGUCUCAAGUUUUUUCAAAACUCAGACAAAGAGGGGCAAACUGUAGACACCAAAUUUUUUGAUUUUUUAAAUUAAUUUCAUCUUAGCUUUAUUUGUUUCAAUUUUAGGUUUUUCAUUUCUUAUUAUUAUUAUUUAUUAUUAUUAUUAUUUUAUUAUUAUUAUUAUUAUUAUUAUUUAUUAUUAUUAUUAAUAUUAUUAUUUUAUUUUAUUUUUAUUAUUGUUAUUUAUUUUAUUUUGUUCUAGUGUAUUUUUGGCUUCACAUUAAUUUCCAGGAAAAACAAAAGAAAAAGAGAAAAGGAAAAAGAAAGAAAAGUGAAAAUGACAAGUGUGACAGCAUGCACUUGGACAAGUGUCUUUUCUAUGUUUUAGACAACUAAGCACCUAAGGGGUGAGGUGUUAGGGACAUUUGAAAGUUAAGGAAUUUUGGGGGUCAAAGUAGAAUUUUGUGAGGGCUAAAAACUAAAAAAAAAGAGAAAGCAAAACCAAAAAAAAACAGAAAAGGAGGAGGUCGGCCAAAAAACAAGGGUGGGGCUGAGAGCAAAAAGGAGAGGAAAAAACAGAGAAAAAAAAAAAGAAGAAGGCGGCGGAUGGAAAAACGGAAGGCUUCGGCUUCAGUGGCGGCGGAGCUUGAGAAACGCAGAAGAAAGGAGAGUGGCGAACAAGAAAAAAAACAGAACAACAAAGAAAGAGGGGCAAAAAAAAGGAAAAGAAACUGAGAGUAAAGGGAGAGAGGGAGGCAUCGACAAAAACAGAGAGAGAAGAACUUCAGCGGAGUCUGGGGCAAGAAAAAGGGAUGAGAGUGACGGUUGAAAAGGGCCGCGAGAGAGAAAAAAAAAAGAAAACAGAGGAGGAGGUUGCGGAUGAAAAAGGGCUUCGGCCUUGAGAGAAAACAGAGGAAGGUUGAAGAAAGGCUACGGCGGGAUGAAAGAAAAACAAAAGGGAGCGCGGAUGGGCUGAACACGAACAGGAAAAAAACAGGCAACCAUCGGAGAGGCUUGAGAAAGGAGGGCAAAAACAGAGCAACAAAAAUGGUCGGAAAAAAACUGGAAAUUGGGGAAGGGGACUUCAGCGAACAAGAAAAGAAAACAAUAAGAAAAAAGGGAAACAAGCUGCGGAGAGGGUUGAGCUGAGAGUAAAGCCUGCAGCCAAAGAAGAAACGGAGCAACAGGAAAAGGAAAAAACCGGAGAAAAAGGAAGGCUAGCGGAAGAACAGAAGCAAGGUAGGAGCAAAAUGAGAAAAAGCAAAG